rnacentral:rRNA from 1 species
CAGUCGAACGGUAACAGCACUUCGGUGGCUGACGAGUGGCGAACGGGUGAGUAAUACAUCGGAACGUGCCUAGUAGUGGGGGAUAACUACUCGAAAGAGUAGCUAAUACCGCAUGAGAUCUAAGGAUGAAAGCAGGGGACCUUCGGGCCUUGUGCUACUAGAGCGGCUGAUGGCAGAUUAGGUAGUUGGUGGGAUAAAAGCUUACCAAGCCGACGAUCUGUAGCUGGUCUGAGAGGACGACCAGCCACACUGGGACUGAGACACGGCCCAGACUCCUACGGGAGGCAGCAGUGGGGAAUUUUGGACAAUGGGCGCAAGCCUGAUCCAGCAAUGCCGCGUGCAGGAUGAAGGCCUUCGGGUUGUAAACUGCUUUUGUACGGAACGAAAAGACUCUCUCUAAUACAGGGGGUUGAUGACGGUACCGUAAGAAUAAGCACCGGC